rnacentral:rRNA from 1 species
GACGAACGCUGGCGGCGUGCCUAAUACAUGCAAGUAGGACGCAGUUGCGAACGGGUGAGUAACGCGUAGGUAACUACCUAUUAGAGGGGGAUAACUAUUGACAACGAUAGCUAAUACCGCAUACUAAUAGAUGGACCUGCUUUGUAUUAGCUAGUAGGUAGGGUAAUGGCCUAACUAGGCAACGAAACAUAGUCGACGGGAGAGUGUGAUCGGCCACACGGGGACUGAUACACGGCCCAGACUCCUACGGGAGGCAGCAGUAGGGAAUCUUCGGCAAUGGGGGGAAACCUGACCUAGCAACGCCGCGGGAGUGAAGAAGGUUUUCGGAUCGUAAAGCUCUGUUGUUAAGGAAGCGGUACUUAACCAGAAAGGGACGGCUAACUACGUGCCAGCAGCCGCGGUAAUUC